UAUAGGUAAUAUUCCUCCUUUUUAUCCUGGUUAAUUAGAAGAAAUACAUCCCAUUUUUAUACGUGUCUACCUAUCAUUAAUUCCUUUACGGAAGAAUACAUUUAAAUUUCCCGGGGAUUUUCAAUGAAGUUUUCUGAUUGGUUAAUGAAAGACCAAUGAGCAUGCGAAAUGACACGGACGUACACACAAAAAAGGCCUUAUAUUUUUUUACUAUAGUAAGAUAAGAUAAGAGAAUAUUGAAGGUUAGGAAACGUGGUCUUGAUCAAUUAAUUACCUAUUAUUGUCUACCGCGUCAAUACCACCUACCCCCUCCCUGCUGAAUCUUGCAGGACUGGAUUAAAGGAGAGAAGAGAAACAAUGGCACGCAGUGAUGAAAAGUUGCAUGAUGAGGAACUGAGUAGGCUGAUUGGACAUCAGGUAGUUUUGUGGAUCGACUAAAUAUAUAUAUAUUUUUUUUGUUUAAAUUAAUAUAAUUUUUUGUGAAAAUUUGAAUAAAGAGGAUGUUUCAAGCGA